UAUAUAUUAUAUUUUCCUGUAGUUUCUGGGGAUUUGGAGCAAGAAAGGGAGGCACGUGUUAACAUGUUUUUUUGAUCAAACAUCCUUUUUGAGAGCACUUUGUUGGUUUUAAAAUAUUUAGAUAAUUAAUCUCUCUACUGUUUCCUUAUCGAUGGCCUUGAAAAAUAGGUAUUAGAAUCUCAAUUUUAGAGACAAGAAAAUUAAGGAGCAGGGACAUUAACUAAUUUGUGUAAAGAUAUCCCUCUUGGUAAGGAGAAAAACGAGGGCUGGAAAACAGAUUUUUCUGAUAUUUAAGCUCAUGUUAAUUCUGCUCUGAAAGGUGUGGCAGUUUUCUUUCCCCCUCCUCCUCCUCCUUCUUUUUCUCUUGUUCCUCCCCCUCCACUUCCUUCUGCCAUUAUCAUUACCAUCAUCACCAUCACUACCACCAUCAUUAUUACCAUCAUCACCAUCACCAUCAUCAUCACCACCAUCACCAUCAUCACCAUCAUCACCACCAUCACCAUCAUCACUAUCAUCAUCACCAUCACCAUCAUCACAUCAUCACCACCAUCACCAUCAUCAUCACAUCACUAUCAUCACCACCGUCACCAUCACCACCAUCACCACCAUCACCAUCAUCACCAUCAUCAUCACAUCACCAUCACCAUCAUCAUCACCACCGUCACCAUCACCACCAUCACCAUCAUCACCACCAUCAUCACAUCACCAUCACCAUCAUCAUCACCAUCUUCACCAUCAUCACCAUCAUGCUCACCAUCAUCACCAUCAUCAUCACCAUCAUCACUACCAUCAUCACUACUAGUUUCUUUACCCCUAAGGAACCCGUGAGUCUCUUGGAGGGCAGGGACCACUUUUUACCACCUUGGCAUUUCCUGUACCUACUGCCUGGCCUAAUGCCCACAUUUGUAAAUCUUUCUUCAAUGUUUGUUUCUGCCUUUUGAAUUUUAGCUUUCUGUGAGCAGAUUUGUCUUGUUUACUAACAUUUCCCAUAGUGUCCAAUAGAUGCCAGGGACAGAGUGAGUAUUCAGUAAAUAUUUAUUCAAUAAACGAAUCAGUGUUUCAUAGAUGCUACAACCUACUACGAUAUAAAAAUGAGAAUGUAAUUUGAAGACAGAAGGUAAGAAAAAAAGCUCAAUUAGAAAUUGGGUUGUUAUGUAAACCUAAAAUAUAAAAAUUUAGUUUCACUAGUAUAACACCAUGACAGGAUGAUUUAGUUAGUGAUCUCUAAAAUCAUCACAGCUGAAAAACAUCUUGCUCUAUAUUCACUACGUGGUAUACUAUGAAGCCUCCUUCUGUGCAUUUAAAAAAAAUAAAGACCUAUCACUUGGACUUAAUUUUUCCACUGCAUUUCAUCAUGUUAAAUGUCUGGCCACUGCAUUACUACCACAAUGGGAAUUGUUACUAGGAAGCUUAGAUUCAAAUUAAGGUAGUUCCAAGGACUUUAUUAAUUAGCACGUUCAAAAAGCAUCCGUUGAGUUUCUCCAGGAUACCAAAUAUUAUGGGCAGUGCAAGACCGAUAAAUAAAUAAGAUAUAGUUCCUGUUAUUAACAUCUUUACAUGUCAUCGGUGAGGAAAAUGUGGCACCCUUCAUGACUGUGUAAGUCCUCUUAUUGGGGAAGUUCUCGGCUUGAUGGGGGAGUCUUGUUUGCCCAGCUCUUCACAGGAAAAGGGCUUGGCAUUAACAUGACCUCACUGGGUUUCUCUCCAGGUUUCAACUUGUGCCUCCUGGGAGUAAAGCUGUACACCUUCAUUAUGCAACCUCGUCCUGCACCCAUCAGCCCCCACCCUUCAUACCUACCCUUUUAAUCUUUCAAGAAGUGAAAAAAGUUGGCUUAACCUCAAACAUCCUUUACACCAGGAGAAAUGUAACGAUGAUUGAUGGUUAUUCUAAAUGAUCUGGGGUCGAGGAUAAUAUUUAAUUCUGCUUUGUGUCCUCUUUGGCGGGUGGUAAAUGUUGGUUACAUGAAAAAUAUCGCCCUUGUCCCCAGGUGGGGACCAUGAGAUUUCUCUAAUGCAAAGUGACUAUUUUUCCCUUUGUGAGUUAUGAGUAUCUUGCAGGGAAACACUUUGAGACUCUGCAAGUAUCCUGUUUCUCAUCGAACUUUCACCCACUAGUUUCAGCAUCCCUUGAUGAUUAUUGUCGGAAACAAUUAUGACGGUAAUAUUGUUGAAUGGUGAUUUGGCAAAUCACCUUUACAUGUACAUGUAGGGUAAUCUUAAAACAAAAUUAAAUCUAGAGGGAUUCUGUGCAGGAAGAACCUGCAUAGAACAUUCAUCCAAAUUCCUAGAUGGGCUAAUUAAUAAAGUCCUUGGAACUAUCUCAAUUUGAAUCUAAGCAUCUUAAUAACAUUGUGGUAGCAAUGCAGUUGGCAGACAUUUAGGACAAAAGAAUGAUGCAGAAAAGUUAAAUCCAGGCAAUAGGUUUUUAUUUUUAAAAAAUGCACAGAAAAAGUCUUCACAGUUAUCCAGGUAGUGAAUACAGAGCAAGACGUUUUUCAACUGUGAUGAUUUUGGAGAUCACUAAGUCAUCCUGUCAUGGUAUUUUACUAGUGGAAUUAAAUUUUUAUACUUUAACUUCAUAUGACAGUUUCUUUUACAUGUGACCAUGCAUUGCAAAAAACCUUACCUUCAUGACUCUUGUACCUUUUAGCUGUAUGACCUUUUCAUGUUCCUUAUAUUCUCUGAACUUUAUUUUACUUAUUUGUAGAUUGGGAAUAAUAAUAGUAAUUGACUCAUAGGGGCUGCCUGAAAAUUAACUUAAACAAUAUGUGUAAAGUUCCCAGAUGAGUUUGUGAUAAACAGCAGAUAUUCCAUCAAAGUUUGCUAUGAAUGUUGUUGUAUUUACCAACAUUUCUCAACACUGAUGGGAUCUUAAAACAAAAUUCAAUCUUGAGGGAUUCUGAGCACGAAGAAAGAAGAUGUUGCAAUGCCAUCCUGAAGUGAGCAGUAAAGUUGUUCACAAAGGCAAAGACCGCAAAUCCCUGCCAGGGAGCGGCAGGCUCCUCCUGAAAGGACUUAAAGGCCGCUGGGAAAGCCGAGGGACUCCAGCUUACAUUUUUUCCAGCUCCUCAAAGCACACAUCUGUGGGCCCUGAUAGAGGGACCCUGCUUGCUUUCUUCUGUAGAGAUAAGAGAUAUGCCAGAAAUCACCCCUGUGGAAUUAUUAUGUGAAAUUGGGAAUUAGGCCAUCUGACGACUUUCUUGUGAAAUGAGAGCAUCCCGAGGAAUACCAUUAUUUAGGAACAUCUUCCUGUCUGCAUUUGGGUUGGAGUGUAUUACUGGACGGGGUGUUUACGUGUGUGACAGUGGAUGGAGCCGCAGAAGGUCAAGUGAAGGUGUUUACUUCUGGGUAAGAGGGAGAUACAAGAUCCUCAUAAAACCACAUCAUGAAGCUUCUCUUCCGGAUCAUGGCUGCAAGUAAGUCACUUCAGUUUCUGGUGAGUAAAAUCCAUCUCUGCCCAGCAUGCUCUUGCAGAAUGCGAACCCCUUGGACUGUCGCUGUUUUUAAGACAAGCAGCAGAAGACCAGACCAUGGGUUAGAAAGCCUUGGCUUCAGUCCAUAUGUCAGUUGGGCAAAGCAACUUUGUAAAAGUCCAGCUCCUCUAAUUCUCCUGAUCUAUGAAAUGGGGAUAAUUGGAGGUAUAAUAAUUGUGCUGGGUUGAAAAUUCAUGCUCACCAGGAAACACAGAAUGGACCUUGUUUGGAAAGAGGGUCUUUCCAGAUGUGAUUCGUAAAGAUGAGCGGUGGGCCCUAAUCCAGUGAUCGGGGUCCUUAGAAGAAGAAAAGAAUUUGGACACAAAGAGACACAGAGGCCAGCAUCAUGUGAAGAGGGAGACAGAUGGAAGUGAGGUGUCUACCGGCCAAGGAGCAGUGAGGAUUGCUGGAAAUUCCAGGCACUAGAGAGAGGUGUGGGACAGACUGUCUCUCAGAGUCUCCAGAGAAACCAACUCCAGUGGCACCUCAAUCUUGGACUUCUGGUCUCCAUAAAUAUGAGAAACAAAUUUCUGUUGUUUUAAGUCACUGCAUUUGUGCUACCUUGUUACAGAAGCAUGAGGAAACACGAGACAUUAAACAGCCACCGCAUGGUGUCUUUCUGAGGCUCAGUUUGAAUCAUACACAGAAGACCUUCAAAGGUUAGUGGUAUGUUCAUAUAUGGGUUGUGACCGUGACCCUGGGAGACAGAGUCCAGGUUCACACUUGCAGCUCUUGCACUCAACUGCUGAGGGCUUUGGGUAGCUCCCGGGUUCUUCCGAGCCUGAGAUUCCUGGUCUAUAAUCAGGAGCCACCUCUACCUCGUGUUGUCGGGAAGAUGUAAUGGGGACAGCAUGUAGAGGGCCUGUCACCAAGGAGGCACCUGGGAGAUAAUAAAGGCU
rnacentral:lncRNA from 1 species